GACAGAGGCCUCAAGCGUUAGGCGGAAUCACUGGGCGUAAAGCGCACGUAGGCGGAUCUUUAAGUCGGGGGUGAAAUCCUGGAGCUCAACUCCAGAACUGCCUUCGAUACUGAGGAUCUCGAGUCCGGGAGAGGUGAGUGGAACUGCGAGUGUAGAGGUGAAAUUCGUAGAUAUUCGCAAGAACACCAGUGGCGAAGGCGGCUCACUGGCCCGGUACUGACGCUGAGGUGCGAAAGCGUGGGGAGCAAACAGG
rnacentral:rRNA from 1 species